ACCUGGUUGAUCCUGGCAGUAGCCAUAUGCUCACUUCAAAGAUUAAGGCAUGGAUGUGUAAGUAUGAACAACUUUAUACUGUGAAACUGGAGAUGGGUCAUUAAAUCAGUUUUAAUCUACUUGAUGAUUCCUGACUACAUGGAUAAGGGUACUAAUUGUAGAGGUAAUACGUGCGCAAAUCCCACUCCGGAAGGGAUGGAUUUAUUAGAUAAAAACGACGGGGGUCUGCCCGGUUUGGGGGGAUUCAUGGGAACUGGUCAAUCGAUGGCUCGGCCGGGAUAGUUCAAUCAAAUUCGGCCUAUCGCUUUUGACGGGAGUGUAGUGGACUACCGGGGGUUCGGGUGACGGGGAAUUAGGGUUCGUUCCGAGAGGGAGCUGAGAAACGGGUACACUCCAGGAAGGGAGGAGGCGCGAAAUUACCCAUCCUGACACGGGAGGGAGUGACAGAAAUAACAAUACCGGGCUUCUUUAAGUCUGGGAAUUGGAAUGAGUACAAUUCAAAAUACUUAACGAGGAUCGACGGGAGGGGAAGUCUGGGGGCCAGCAGCCGGCGGUAAUUCCGGCUCCGUAGCGUAUGGCUAAAGUUGUUGGCAGUUGAAAAGCUCGAGGUGGAUUUCUGGGGGGGCGCGUCUGGCCCGCAGCGGGCGUGGCGGCGGGCGGCGGCGGCGCCUGCCAUCCUUCCGGAGAGCGCGGCGUGCCCUUUGCUGGGCGGCGCACGCGAUCUGGGAUCUUUUACUUUGAGCAAAUUAGAGUGUUUAAAGCAGGCUGACGCUGAUGAAUACACGAGCAUGGAAUAAUAAGAUAGGACUUUGACCUUAUUUUGUUGGUUUCUAGAUCGAAGUAAUGAUUGAUAGGGGACAGUUGGGGUGCUAGUAUUCGACGACCAGAGGUGAAAUUCUUCGAUUCGUUGAAGACUACCUAAUGCGAAGCAUUCCCAAGGAUGUCUUCU
rnacentral:rRNA from 1 species